rnacentral:rRNA from 1 species
GGGAGCCGGGGGUGCCUAGCACUUACAAAUGGCAAGUCGAACGGCAGCACAGUAGGAGCUUGCUCUUACGGGUGGCGAGUGGCGGACGGGUGAGGAAUACAUCGGAAUCUACCUUUUGGUGGGGGAUAACGUAGGGAAACUUACGCUAAUACCGCAUACGCCCUUCGGGGGAAAGCCGGGGACCAGCAAUGGCCUGGCGCUGAUAGAUGAGCCGAUGUCGGAUUAGCUAGUUGGUGAGGUAAUGGCUCACCAAGGCGACGAUCCGUAGCUGGUCUGAGAGGAUGAUCAGCCACACUGGAACUGAGACACGGUCCAGACUCCUACGGGAGGCAGCAGUGGGGAAUAUUGGACAAUGGGCGCAAGCCUGAUCCAGCCAUACCGCGUGGGUGAAGAAGGCCUUCGGGUUGUAAAGCCCUUUUGUUGGGAAAGAAAAGCAUUCGGUUAAUACCCGGGUGUUCUGACGGUACCCAAAGAAUAAGCACCGGCUAACUUCGUGCCAGCAGCCGCGGUAAUACGAAGGGUGCAAGCGUUACUCGGAAUUACUGGGCGUAAAGCGUGCGUAGGUGGUGGUUUAAGUCCGUUGUGAAAGCCCUGGGCUCAACCUGGGAAUUGCAGUGGAUACUGGAUCACUCGAGUGUGGUAGAGGAUAGUGGAAUUUCCGGUGUAGCAGUGAAAUGCGUAGAGAUCGGAAGGAACAUCUGUGGCGAACGCGACUUUCUGGUGAGACACUGACGCUGAGGCAGGAAAGCGUGUGGAAUAAACUGGAUGACAUAGCCUGGUAGUACACGCCCCUAAAUGAUGCGAACUGCAUGUUACGUACAACUUGAACCCCCGUAUCGAAUCUAACCGCGUGAAGUUCGCCGCCUGGAGACUGCAGCUCCAAGACUGUAACUCGGGCGAACUGACGGGGUGCCAGCAUAUGGGUUGAAUUAUGUGGUUUAUUCGAUCCUACCUGGACAUCCUUUCCUGGGCAUGACCCCACGGAACUUUGCUGCAUAUGGAUAGGGUGCCUUCAGGAACCUCGUGACUGGUCGCUGCAUGGCUGUCCGUCACUGCUCGUUUAGACUCGUGAGCUAACGUCCCCCCUACGACUGCAUCGCCUGUCCUUAUAUGGCAGAACCUCUAAGUAGCACUCUGUAGACAAACCGCAGGAAUCAGCCGAGAGAGAUGAGUGGAUUUAUGCUCAUUACUACAUGGUCCCUUACCAGCUAGUGCUAUGCGCCAGAUCACAAGUCGAGACCAGGUCCGUUGAGCGGUGCCGGUGAACCGAUUCUCCAUACCGUGAUAUUGCUCUUCGUGCGGACUGAU